UACGUAGGGGGCGAGCGUUGUCCGGAUUUAUUGGGCGUAAAGAGCUCGUAGGCGGCUUGGCAAGUCGGGUGUGAAACCUCCAGGCUCCACCUGGAGACGCCACUCGAUACUGCCAUGGCUAGAGUCCGGUAGGGGACCACGGAAUUCCUGGUGUAGCGGUGAAAUGCGCAGAUAUCAGGAGGAACACCGGUGGCGAAGGCGGCUACCUGGACCGGUUCUGACGCUGAGGCGCGAAAGCGUGGGUAGCAAACAGG
rnacentral:rRNA from 1 species